rnacentral:lncRNA from 1 species
GCGCUGCGGGUGCCCGCGGAUUUUGUCAGAAAGUGGAAACUCUCCGCGAAGGCUUUCCUCGCCGCUGCGGCUCGCGCCUUGCUUCUUCCCCUAGGUUCACCUGCCUGCCCGAGUGACUGAGAGCCGAGCGGACCGGCCCCCGCCGCCCGGAACGCACUUCCAGUCCCAUGGAGCCCGAACUCCUGCUCGGCAUCUCUACUUUCCGCUCCGGCUGAGCUGCUCUGGAGCCCGAGACCGGGGAGGCGCGACUCUCGGCCCACAGCCGCACCGCCGCCGGGUGCUGUCCGCCCUCCGAGACCCGCGCCAGAGCCUUUGAAACUGGCAGAGGACGCUGCACCAGGAAAUCUGUGGACUUGGGAUGAGGCAAGCCCCUGGACUGCUCUGAGGACAGGGCUCUGGAUACUGGAGCACAUCGUAUGGGACUGGGGCUCCAAUGGCAAACAUGACUUCAUUGGCGAAUACACCUCAGCAUUCAAGGAGAUGAGAGGAGUGAUGGAAGGGAAACAGGAUCCACCAUGAGUUCAGCUUCAGGACAGCACUCAAUCAAGUCCAUGCAGACAGGAACCAGUUGUCUUUAGGAACUUCCAGAGGAGGCACCACCAUGGGAUUACAAGGUGAGGAAAAAGUGGGGAGAAGCCUGCGUGUAGCUUAUUGCUAAGGGGUUACAUUUCCAGAGGAUCCAACAAAGGAUCCGCUCGGUGUGGAAAACUGUGGAUUUUAGUGAGUUUAGUGUGUGGUGUUGAUGGUGUUCAGUUAUUCUUUGAUGUGUAGUGUCUGGUUUUCUUCUCACCAUUUACUGAGGGCGUCGGUCCUUUUCCCAUUUUGUGUCCUUGGCUCCUUUGUUGUGAAUUAACUGAUGACAUACAAAUGCGUUUAUUUCUGUGCUCUCUAUUCUGUUCCUCUGGCCCAUGUGUCUUUUUUUGUGCCAGUACCACAGUUUUAGUUCUUGUAGCUUCGUAACUUGUGAAGCCAGGGAGGGAGAUCCUUCCAGCUGUGUUCUUUUCUCAGGAUCAUUUGGGCUGUGGAGGGCUCUUUGUUACUUUGUUCUUUCUAUACAAAUGAUAGUUCUAUACAAGUGGUAGGGUUAGUUUUUCUAGAGGUGUUGGUCAGCAGCUCUCUAAAUACCAUUUUUCAUUGGACCUCUACUGCCAGCAUUUUUUAAAAAUGGGACAAGAUCCCCUAUGUCCAGUUUUUCACGGUGCUUUGGCAAAACAAGGGCCUCCCUAGGAAAUACAAGGUUAUUUCUAAUAUCUCUCCUGGUGACGGAACCUCAGCCUGAGGAUCCUCUUGACUUCCUCCCUCCCCCUUCUGACAAUUCACCCAAGACUUCUGAGUCAUCCACCCCCUGGUUCCUUCUGCUCCCUCCAGUUCACCACCACCCUCCUGCUGCCCCUGCCUCCUCCUCACCUCCACCACCUCCAUCUCUUGGCAUGCCUACCCCCCGGGACUAGUCCAAUGCAGACCCAUGGCGGCGUUCAGUACCAGGCUUCUGGAAUCAAUAGGCUAUUCCACCUCCGGGAAGCCCCCAUUGGAGAGGGCAGACUGACUGCUGUAUAUGUAUCCUUUUCAUCCUCAGAUCUCUGUACCUGGAAGGAUCCAUCCAAGGGUUUGAAAGAGGACCCCGAGGGCAUCCUUAAUUUAGUCCAGGGAAUAUUUCACACUCUUUCCCACUUAGGCAGAUGUCCAGACUCUCCUGAACAUCCUAAUCCUGGGGAAGAAAAGGCAGUGAUUAUAACUAAUGCAAGGGAGGAAGCUGGUAAGAGCGAUUCAAAUGAUAUGGGGCUAGCUGGGAAUCUAGGCCAUUCCCAACAUGGACCCUGGACGGGACCAUCGAGAGGAAAACAGUCGGCAGCACCUCACACAUUCAGUGAUUUGAUUCUUAAGGGGAUUCAGUGGGCUGGGAAGAAACCCAUAAAUUGGAGUCGGGUUCAGGGAGUGAUCUAGGGACCAAAAGAAAACUCCUUGGCCUUCCUGGAAUGCGUAAGGGAGUGCCUCCAUGUGUACACGAAUGUAAACCUGGAGUCAGUGGAAAGGCAGGCCAUUUCUUAAGUCCCAUUUACCUUCCCAGAGUGCCCCAGACAUUAGGAGAAAAUCAUAGAUGUUGGAGAUAAGGUCCACACACCUACUUCCUAGGAGUGGAGUCAGCAUUUCAGGUGUUCAGGAGCCAGAAUCUGGAGGGAGACGCCAAGACAGACACGUGGAAUGAACUGCCGGUAUUCUGGCUUCACUGAUUCAGGGUCAGUCAACUUCCCAGUGACGAUGGGGCUCCCCUGAAGGGACCCUGUGACAUCAGUGAGUUGCCCCAAGUUUCAAAGAUCACGCCCAUAAUGGAGAGAAGGGCUUAAAGCCAGUCAGUGUACACAGUGAAUUGAGGAGGACCACCAGAAGAGAGAAUGCCCCAGACAUCCCGGAAGGAAGCUAAGGGACUGCGGUGCCCUGGCCCAUCCUCGCUGAUCACACACACAAAAGGACUGGGGGGUCCCAAGGUUGUCCCAGGGGCUCCCUGAAGGAACCUCACCUGACCCUGACUGUGAAGGGUAAAAUAGUUCACUUUCUGGUCGACACAGGGGCAACUUACUCAGUCUUGAACACCUGACAAGCAGAAUAACCAAAGAUAAAUGUGGGAUAAUGGAAGGGAAGCCCCAGGAACCUAAUUUUAAGGAGUCUCUUGAGUGCCAUUUGGAAGGGAGGAUGUUAUCUCACUCUUUAAUGUACCAGAAUGCCCAGUUCCCCUGAUAGGAAAAGACUUACUGUACAAUUUGGGAGCUACAGUUUAUCUCAGAGACAAAAAAACUUACACUCCUAAAGAAACUGGCCACAAAACCAACCUUAGGGAGAUAUGGACCACCUAAAAUAUGCCCUACAGAGAGGGGGAAAUGAAGCUUUACACACUUGCGGGAAUCCAGAACUGCCUUUCCCUCCUGACAUGGUUUUAGAUCCUUUCUCCCCUAAGGAUUGGAUCUAUUCGAGAACCUGAAAAGCUGGAAAUCCACAAGACCAGUGGACAGGACCUUAUCAUAAUCUUGAUUACUCAUUCUGCUUUAAAAUUACAGGGCACAACUCUGAGUCCACGAUACCAGAGUGAGGCCAGCACCUACACCUGAGGAAGGAGUUACUGAGCCACCCACUCAGUACACCUGUGACCUGACACAGACCUUAGGGGACUUUUGAAAAGGACAAAUUUACCAAGAGAUGUGGGGGAUAGGCUUAGUCAUUGGCUUCGUCAUUGCUCUUGCCUUACUUGGCUUGUGCUGCUGUGUCAGACAUCUCUGUCCACGCUGGACCCAGGGGAGACUAACACUGAAAGUAGGGUGAGCAGCCAUUAUUGUCUGUUCCUUCUUACCUUCUCUGCUCUCUUACAGCCAUCCACAUGGACUAGGACCUGAAUGUAGUAAUAAAUUUCUCGAAGCUUAUACCCCUGUACAAAAUCUGUCCUGGUGCUGGUCUCUCACCCCCCACCCACAAAGUAAUACCUAUGGAUUAAAGGUAUUAUUACAUUUUACCGCCAAAACGACAACCUCACUGCCACCUUACAUCCUAGGCCUGCUAAAUUUAUCCCUUUUGAAGUUCACACCUCGUCCCUAACACAGCUUCUCUGUUUGGACCCCACCCUCACAAUAACAUCUGUAGCAAAUACAGAGCACUCAUUCUGUAUUGCUGCCACUGCCCCGAUCAGUGGCUCCUACCAAAGGGAGGAACUUGUAGUAACACCCUGGGGCUUCUCUGGACUCUGAUCAGUGCUUCUUCCCUUACCCCACAGCUUAAGGGACCCAGGAUUGACUCCUAUGGAAAUCUCAACCCCUCAGUGCCCUCUGCACCAACGCACACAGGGACAAGAUUAGAGGUGUGUACUUGUUGGAGAGGGAAGAUAGCAAUUUGUCUGGCAUUUAGUAUAUGGCCCUCCUGAGGCCUGGGAGAGAACCAUUAGUCCAGAAUCCUCCCCCCGUGAUCCCAGCUGUGUAGGUAGGCUUCUCUCCCCACACUGCAGGGCAACCCCUCUUGGGCUAGCCACUCAGAGAGGUGGUGGUUCAACUCCUCAGAAAUGCACCAGGCAUGGGCUUCCCCCAGGUAACCUAUUCCUUUGUGGCCUGAGAGUAAACCAGUUGCCCCAUCAGAACAACCCCCAAAUCUUUCUCUUCUCUGGGAUGGGCUCAAGCCUACACCCUUGCUUACAUAAUACCCAGUUUUUAUACAGUGCACACUAGGCUGGCUAAGUCCUAGGAACCUAGAUCUAACCAUUCAUAAUGUCACCCAGCUUUGAGAUAAAAGGGCAGUAGGACUUAAUUCUGGCAGGAGUACGGAUUGCUCUGGUACCGGUGGCCCCCUGGGGAGCUUUCACAUAUCAUGAAACCACUUUACAGAAUCUCUCACAGGCCUUUGAGGACUUGUCUAAAAACAUGGGGUAUGCCUUUCAAGGGCCCUGUAUUUCUGUGGACUCACUAUCAAAUGUUGUUCCAACAGUACGCUAGCCCUUGACUAUCUCUAGGCUAGGCAAGAGGGAGUCUGCAGUUAUCUGUAAAACCUGCUGCAUGUAUGUCACUACCUCCAUCUAACCAGAUUUAAACAUAAGAGAUACAUGAACAAGCUCUAAGGCUGCAUAGAUCUAACACACAAGGUCCAGAUCCAGGAUCCAUCUGGAUAUGGGCAGACAGCCUCCCCGCUUAACAUGGGUUCUUCCAUUUCUUAGCCUACUAACUGCCUUUAUUCUUCUGCUUGUCUUGGAGCCUUGCCUCCUUAAAUGCCUUGUCACCUUUUUUAGUAAAUGACUUGAAGCCAUCAGACUUCAGAUGAUACUAAGACAAGGCUAUGUGCAGCUGGGACUGCAGCCUGGAGACAAAUCAGACUUAUCUGAGGCUAGUCAGGAACAGUUCUUCUCUAAUCCAGGGAGAAACCACACCCGUGUUCCUCAGGAAGCAGCUUCAGAAGAUAGACCGUCAGUCAGAGGGUCUGGAGAUGAGGAAGGUAUACAAAGAGACCAACAAAAACCAGAUGAACCAGGUGGAAUCAGGGUGAUGAGGAAUCUGACCUCCAACAGGCCCUGAGUCUCAUUCUACAUGGAUUUUACUACAUUAGCUACUAAAUGACACACCUACCAACAGCCAUGACCAGAAGAUGCAGAAAAAGAGGAUAAGGGAGUGGUACCCCAUUUCCAGGAAAGCCCUGCCCCUUCCCUGGUGGACUAGCUUCAUUCCUCCUCCCUUUGUCUUUUCUCUUUAAAAUCAAAUUCCUCUCACCACCUGGGUGAUAAGUUGAUCUGUGAACUAAGUUGCUGCUUCUUCAUUCUUUGGCCACAGACUAAAACCUGGGCUGCACUGAUCUCAGCUUUAGUUUUGGUUUUUAGCUACAUGAACUAGCCUCUAUUCUAGACUUUCUUUUAAUUCUUGUCCUUAUACCAAUAACAAGCAUUAUUGGAAGUAACCUUCCCCAAAGAAUCUUUGCAGUAUAUUUAUUACCCUGAUUUGGUAAAUCAGAAAAGGAAAACAUCUCUUCCUAAGACUCAUGGAAGCAGCUUCAGCUCCCAAAGCUUAAGUUCUACUUACACUAUUCCCUGAAUAACUGCUUGUAGGACAUUCACUUUAAGUGCUGUGUAAACAUUAAAAAAUGACGUCGUAGAAACUGAUAUUACUACAUACUUUGUGCAUUAUAUGCCCUUCCACAUAUAAGUUAGUACAUACGCUUUAUCUUAUAUAAUAUAUGCUCAUAUAAUCACAUUCUCAAUCCCAUGUGUAUAAGCAUGUACAUCAGCCUAUUGAUAUUAUAGGACACGUUAAACAGUUCAAUCCAUAUUAGAUUCCAGUCCCUAUGGAAUAUUCAUGGGUAAUUGAAGUGAUACUAUAUAGGAUACCACAUGUUUAUUCAUUGUACAUGCCACAUUAUGUCCAAUCAUUUCCAGUACAACACGGUUAUCCUAACCAAUAACCAGAGCUUAGUCAAAAAGCCUUGAUAAACCAUCAGCCUACCCACAAAUGUGCCUCUCUCCACAUUUUGGAUCCAAGAACCAGGGGGGUUGCUUUUGGGGGUGGCCACACCCACAGCAUAUGUAAGUUCUUGGGCCAAGUAUCUAAUCUGAGUUGCAGCUGCAACCUACAAAACAGCCAUGGUAAUGCCUGAUCCUAACCCAUUGUGUCGGGCUAGGGAUCAAACCUACACCUCAGCAAUAAGCCAAGCUGCCGCAGAGACAGUGCUGGGUACUUAACCUGCCAUGCCACAGCAGGAACUCCCAUGGGGAUUUCUAUAAGCAAUAUCUGGCAUCUGGUUCUUUACAGCCAUCUCAGGUAAAGUUGCCCACUCUCUCCCCUUAAAUAAGACAUCUUAGUGGACUGUCAAAUCAGCUUAUGCUCACACACAUAUGGUUUCAUGCAUUUGGUAUUUUUUUUUUUAAUUUAGGGGGAUGCUGUGGUCAUCAGAGGCCUUAACACAGCCAAGCAACUUAUAGCUGAGCUUAAAUUGAAUAUUUUUUGCCAACAUAAUUAACUAUGUUAAUCAAGACAAUGAUCACAGAACAUAGAGCAUUUACAUACAUACACACACACAUGUAUACCAGGUAAAAGAGCGCCUUAACCAAAUCCUCCUACCUCCCACUAAAUCUUUAUACUUUGCAUGCCAUUAUUGCCCUGCCAAACUCCCCAGAUAAGGUAAAGCAUAUAACAACAUGAGUCAGCUACUCAUCUAAUAAACAUAUUGUCCCUACUUUACCAACCCAAAGUUAAUGUAACUACAAACUAGCCUCCUAAUAAUACCCAUCAAUGACUUAGAUAUCUGAGUCUUACAGAGAAAGACAUCCCCCUUGAUCUCUGCCAUUUACAUCAAAUAAAUACAUUUCAUAAUCUCCAAAGAAAAAAUAUUUAACAUUUCAGUACUAAUUUUAACACAAUCCAAACUACUAUAAUGAAUACCAAUAUAUCACAUAAAACUUAUGCAUACACAGUCCAACUCAACCUGUUGAUGUAGCUUCACAAAGUGAAGCACUGUAAAUGCCUUGAUGAAUUUACUAACUCCAUAAACACAUAGGUAUGGCCCCAGACUACUAAAGUCUAAUAAAAUUACACAUGCAGUCUAUCCAGAGAAAACCAUGACUUGAGAAGACACAGGUACUCCAGUGUUCAUUGCAGCACUAUUCACAAUAGCCAAGACAUGGAAAAAAACCUAAAUGUCUCUCAACAGAGGAGUGGAUAAAGGAGAUGUGAUACACAAUGGAAUAUUACUCAGCCAUUAAAAGGAAAGAAAGAAUAGCAUUUUUAGCAACAUGGAUAGACCCAGAAAUUACAAUGUUAAGUGAAGUUGGUCAGACAAUGAGACACCAACAUCAAAUGCUAUCACUGACAUGUGGAAUCCAAAAAAAGGAUACAGUGAACUUGUUUGCAGAACAGAUACUGACUCACAGACUUUGAAAAACUUAUGGUUUCCAAAGGAUACAGGUUGGGGCCUGGGGGUUUGGGAUGGAAAUGCUAUAAAAUUAGGUUAUGAUGAUGAUUGUACAACUAUAAAUACAUUUUUUAAAAAACCACCAAACUUAAAUAUGCUAAUGAUAUUAAAGGUCUGUAUAUUUCUAUUCUUUGAAAAAAAAAUUACACAUGCAAGUAUCUGAUCAUUGAGAAUGGCCCUGUAAAAUCAUAAAAAAAAUUAAAAGAAGCAGGCAUCAAGCACCCUAAAAAGUAGUUACAAUGCUUUGCUUAACUUUGCCCGCAUGGGAAAUGGUAAUGAUAAAAAGCCAUAAAAGAAAGUUUGAGCAAGUUGCAUUAAUUACGGUUGGUAAAUUUUUUAUCCACCUUGUCAUAAGAUUAACCCAUAUCAAUAGAAAUCCAGCAUGGCAUGUUAAAGAUUACCUCCAAAUAUUAAGUCUUGGCUAAGCUGCACAAAGCUAUAGCUAAAAUAAAAAUAAGCUGUGAAAGUGACUAAUACGGAGUUCCCAUUGUGGCUCAGCAGAAACGAAUCUGACUAGCAUCCAUGAGGACUCAGGUUCGAUCCCUGGCCUUGCUCAGUGGGUUAACGAUCCGGCGUUGCCGUGAGCUGUUGUGUAGGUUGCAGACGCGGCUCGGAUCCCGCGUUGCUGUGGCUCUGGCGUAGGCUGGCGGCUACAGCUCCGAUUCGACCCCCAGCCUGGGAACCUCCAUAUGCCACAGGGACAGCCCUAAAAAUAAAAAAAAAAAAAAA